rnacentral:tRNA from 1 species
GCCUUUGUGGUGUAGUGGUCAGCACGCUCGGCGCGUAUUCAAGAGAUCCAUGGUUCGAGUCUCGGCAGGGGCG